GCCUGGGUGGCUCAGUGAUUGAGCAUCUGCCUUCGACCCAGGCGUAAUCCCAGGAUCUGGGAUCGAGUCCCAUCUUGGGCU
rnacentral:tRNA from 1 species